GGGCGCGUAGCUCAGCGGGAGAGCACCGUCUUCACACGGCGGGGGUCGCUGGUUCAAACCCAGCCGCGCCCACCA
rnacentral:tRNA from 1 species